rnacentral:lncRNA from 1 species
AACGCGGAAGUCAACAGUAUUUGGAAAGGCGAUUGGCAGCAAAUGCGGAUGCCAGGAUGUCUGGAUGAAUGGGUCAGUCAUCUGCACAGCAUCAAUGGAAAAAGAGAAGCAAUGAGGAACAAGAGAAGAGUAGCAGUGAGUGAAACUGAAGUCCAGCGUGAGAUACCCGGAUGACAGGUUGACAGUCUGGAAGGACCCUUCCAGAUUUCCGAAGUGAUUGGCAGACAGCGAUGAGGAGAGUCCUGUUAUUUCAAUGGGGGCCUGCCGAGAAGUUAUAUGCCAAUUGACACUGGGACACGCUCACAAAGGCUGGUCUGGCUAAUGUGAGAAGACCAUCCAAUGCCAAGUCGGAGUGGGACCCUUCAAGGACGUUGAAGAAAUUAUUGUCUUUGGCCAUGUGGUAAUCACUUGAAAGGAAUGAUGUUUGCGACUACUUGUCUAUACAUGUGGACCCAAACACCACAUAG